rnacentral:tRNA from 1 species
AGGCGGCAGGUUGUAGCCCUGUACAGGCGGGUUGAGCCCCGUUCUUACCAA